UAUUUCGUGUUGUGCGGUUACAAUUAGCUACGUCGCCCAUAACUCGUGUAUCGCGGCAAAUAAGUUUCUUUUGUAAGCCGGCAAACACCAAACCGUAGCCACGGAGUACCGACUAGUACUUCGGGAAGACAUGGCUUUCCCACCCCACAGACCGCCACUGGGCAUGCCCGGCAUGCCGAUGCCACCCAUGUUGGCACCGCCAUACACAAUGCCGCACAUGGUCCCAGGAGGCAUGAUACCUAUGGCCAUGGGCGUGAUGCCACCGAUGAUGGCACAUGUGGCCGUGACGGUGCCCCCGUCGAUACCGAUUCUGGCGCAGCCG